rnacentral:rRNA from 1 species
AUUGAACGCUGGCGGCGUGCUUAACACAUGCAAGUCGUGCGGUAACAGGCGUAGCAAUACGUGCUGACGAGCGGCGAACGGGUGCGUAAUACAUGGGAAUCUGCCUUUUAGUGGGGAAUAACCCGGCGAAAGCCGGGCUAAUGCCGCAUAAGAUCUUCGGAUGAAAGCGGGGGAUCGUAAGACCUCGCGCUGAUAGAUGAGCCCAUGCCGGAUUAGCUAGUUGGUGAGGUAACGGCUCACCAAGGCGACGAUCCGUAGCUGGUCUGAGAGGACGGCCAGCCACACUGGGACUGAGACACGGCCCAGACUCCUACGGGAGGCAGCAGUGGGAAUAUUGGACAAUGGGGAAACCCUGAUCCAGCGACGCCGCGUGUGUGAAGAAGGCCUGCGGGUUGUAAAGCACUUUCGGUGGGAACG